rnacentral:rRNA from 1 species
GACGAACGCUGGCGGCGUGCUUAACACAUGCAAGUCGAACGGAAAGGCCCUGCUUUUGUGGGGUGCUCGAGUGGCGAACGGGUGAGUAACACGUGAGUAACCUGCCCUUGACUUUGGGAUAACUUCAGGAAACUGGGGCUAAUACCGGAUAGGAGCUCCUGCUGCAUGGUGGGGGUUGGAAAGUUUCGGCGGUUGGGGAUGGACUCGCGGCUUAUCAGCUUGUUGGUGGGGUAGUGGCUUACCAAGGCUUUGACGGGUAGCCGGCCUGAGAGGGUGACCGGCCAAAUUGGGACUGAGAUACGGCCCAGACUCCUACGGGAGGCAGCAGUGGGGAAUAUUGCACAAUGGGCGGAAGGCUGAUGCAGCAACGCCGCGUGCGGGAUGACGGCCUUCGGGUUGUAAACCGCUUUCGCCUGGGACGAAGCGUGAGUGACGGUAAUGGGUAAAGAAGCACCGGCUAACUACGUG